rnacentral:rRNA from 1 species
CCUACGGGGGGCAGCAGUGAGGAAUAUUGGUCAAUGGACGAGAGUCUGAACCAGCCAAGUAGCGUGAAGGAUGACUGCCCUAUGGGUUGUAAACUUCUUUUAUAAAGGAAUAAAACGAGGCACGUGUGCCUUUUUGCAUGUACUUUAUGAAUAAGGAUCGGCUAACUCCGUGCCAGCAGCCGCGGUAAUACGGAGGAUCCGAGCGUUAUCCGGAUUUAUUGGGUUUAAAGGGAGCGUAGAUGGGUUGUUAAGUCAGUUGUGAAAGUUUGCGGCUCAACCGUAAAAUUGCAAUUGAUACUGGCAGUCGUGAGUACAGUUGAGGUAAGCGGAAUUCGUGGUGUAGCGGUGAAAUGCUUAGAUAUCACGAAGAACCCCGAUUGCGAAGGCAGCUUACUAAACUGUGACUGACAUUGAUGCUCGAAAGUGUGGGUAUCAAACAGGAUUAGAUACCCGAGUAGGC